GACGAACGCUGGCGGCGUGCUUAACACAUGCAAGUCGAACGGAAAGGCCUCUUUCGGGGGGUACUCGAGUGGCGAACGGGUGAGUAACACGUGAGUAACCUGCCCUUGACUUUGGGAUAACUUCAGGAAAGUGGGGCUAAUACCGGAUAGGAGCUCCUGCUGCAUGGUGGGGGUUGGAAAGUUUCGGCGGUUGGGGAUGGACUCGCGGCUUAUCAGCUUGUUGGUGGGGUAGUGGCUUACCAAGGCUUUGACGGGUAGCCGGCCUGAGAGGGUGACCGGCCACAUUGGGACUGAGAUACGGCCCAGACUCCUACGGGAGGCAGCAGUGGGGAAUAUUGCACAAUGGGUGGAAGCCUGAUGCAGCAACGCCGUGUGCGGGAUGACGGCCUUCGGGUUGUAAACCGCUUUCGCUCAUGACGAAGCUUUGUGUGACGGUAGUGGGUAAAGAAGCACCGGCUAACUACGUG
rnacentral:rRNA from 1 species